rnacentral:rRNA from 1 species
AUUGAACGCUGGCGGCAUGCCUAACACAUGCAAGUCGAGCGGAUGAAGGGAGCUUUCUCCUGGAUUCCGCUGCCGACGGACGAGUAAUUCCUAGGUGUCUACCCUGUAUUUGAGAAUAACGUCCCGUAGCGAACGCUAAGACCGCAUACGUCCUUAUGUUGAACGUGGUGGAUCUUCGGACCUCGCGCUAUUUGAUGACCCUAGGUCAGAUUAGCUAGUUGGUUUGGUAAAGGCCUACCAAGGCGACGAUCCGUAACUGGUCUGAGAGGAUGAUCAGCCACACUGGAACUGAGACACGGUCCAGACUCCUACGGGAGGCAGCAGUGGGGAAUAUUGGACAAUGGGCGAAAGCCUGAUGCAGCAACGCCGCGUGUGUGAAGAAGGUCUUCGGAUUGUAAAGCACUUUAAGUAGGGAGGAAGAGCAGUAAAUUAAUCCAUUGAUGUCUUGACGUUACCAAAAGAAAAAGCAACGGCUAACUUCGUG